rnacentral:tRNA from 2 species
GCCCCCGUAGCUCAGUGGAUAGAGCAACGGCCUUCUAAUCCGUUGGUCGCGCGUUCGAAUCGCGCCGGGGGCACCA